rnacentral:rRNA from 1 species
UAGCUACAGGCUUAACACAUGCAAGUCGAGGGCAGCGGGAAGUCAGCUGCUGACUUGCCGGCGACCGGCGCACGGGUGAGUAACGCGUAUCCAACCUUCCCCUUAGUAGGGCAUAGCCCGUAGAAAUGCGGAUUAAUACCCUAUGUUAUUCGUCGAGGACAUCUGAAGUGAAUCAAAGGUUUACCGCUAAGGGAUGGGGAUGCGUCCGAUUAGGCAGCAGGCGGGGUAACGGCCCACCUGGCCGACGAUCGGUAGGGGUUCUGAGAGGAAGGUCCCCCACAUUGGAACUGAGACACGGUCCAAACUCCUACGGGAGGCAGCAGUGAGGAAUAUUGGUCAAUGGGCGCGAGCCUGAACCAGCCAAGUAGCGUGCAAGGACGACGGCCCUAUGGGUUGUAAACUGCUUUUUAUGCGGGGAUAAAGUGCGGCACGUGUGCCGUUUUGUAGGUACCGCAUGAAUGAGGACCGGCUAAUUCCGUGCCAGCCGCUGC